UACGUAGGGUGCAAGCGUUAAUCGGAAUUACUGGGCGUAAAGCGUGCGCAGGCGGUUUUGCAAGACCGAUGUGAAAGCCCCGGGCUUAACCUGGGAAUGGCAUUGGUGACUGCACGGCUAGAGUGUGUCAGAGGGGGGUAGAAUUCCACGUGUAGCAGUGAAAUGCGUAGAGAUGUGGAGGAAUACCGAUGGCGAAGGCAGCCCCCUGGGCCAGUACUGACGCUCAUGCACGAAAGCGUGGGGAGCAAACAGG
rnacentral:rRNA from 1 species